CCUACGGGAGGCAGCAGUGGGGAAUCUUAGACAAUGGGCGCAAGCCUGAUCUAGCCAUGCCGCGUGAGUGAUGAAGGCCCUAGGGUCGUAAAGCUCUUUCGCUGGGGAAGAUAAUGACGGUACCCAGUAAAGAAACCCCGGCUAACUCCGUGCCAGCAGCCGCGGUAAUACGGAGGGGGUUAGCGUUGUUCGGAAUUACUGGGCGUAAAGCGCACGUAGGCGGAUUAGCAAGUUAGGGGUGAAAUCCCGGGGCUCAACCCCGGAACUGCCCUUAAAACUGUUAGUCUAGAGUUCUGGAGAGGUGAGUGGAAUUCCGAGUGUAGAGGUGAAAUUCGUAGAUAUUCGGAGGAACACCAGUGGCGAAGGCGGCUCACUGGCCAGAUACUGACGCUGAGGUGCGAAAGUGUGGGGAGCAAACAGGAUUAGAUACCCUGGUAGUCCACACCGUAAACGAUGAAUGCCAGACGUCGGGCAGCAUGCUGUUCGGUGUCACACCUAACGGAUUAAGCAUUCCGCCUGGGGAGUACGGUCGCAAGAUUAAAACUCAAAGGAAUUGACGGGG
rnacentral:rRNA from 1 species